rnacentral:RNase_P_RNA from 1 species
GUGAGCCGAUGGGCGGAUGUCGGGAGCUUGAGGAGGGGAUUCUCAAGCGCCUGAGGAAACUUCCUUCUCCAUGCGGGUAUCGCGGCGCCGUGAGGCGCAGGGGGAGACCCCUAGCUACGGGACAGAAAAGACACCCGCUCGGAGCAGAUGUGGAUGAUGAGGCAAUAGAAGCCUUUGACGACAUCCGGUGGCGGGAUGAAAAUCCCAGACUCGCGAGGAGCAAGACCGAAAGAGCCCGGAUGACUUACCCGCAGGAUGGGCGGGUGGGUCGCUUAGUCGAAUUCCGCCUAAAACAGAAAAGGAGUUACGGUCGGCACAC